CCUCCCAUCCUGUGCCCCCCAUGUCUCACAGUUUGUCCCUCACCCCUGUGCCCUGUGGGACCAUGGACACCUGCCAGGAAAAUUAAACCAUCAAUGGGAUCAGGGAGCCGGAGGGAGCAGCAGUGGAGCCCCCGGUGCCACCCCCUGGAUCUCCCUGUGUCCCCCCCAGUGCAUUUUCCUAAUCACCCUGGGAAGUGGAGGGUAAAGACACCCAAACUCCCUCAAAAGGAAACAUGGGAUCCGUCUCCGGAGGAGCAGACAAGGGAGAUGGGAAGCGACGGCCUCUCUGCAGCGAGGAGAACACAAACCCUUUGAUGUGGCACUGUGGAAAGGGAAUGAAAAGCUCCAGGUUUAUUCCAGGGAGACAAUCCAGCCCUGCCCUUGUGAUCCCUGUUUUGUGAUGAAAGCUUUGGGGCAGCUUUGGAGAGGAGAAUUCCAGGGAUGUGGGCACAGCCUCCCGCUGCCUCUGCCAAUGGAUGGGGCACUCCUGGAGUGUCCCCAACUGUCCCUGCAGCUCCUGGCAGGACCCUGCAGCUCCCAGCAUCUCAUGGCUCAUCCCACCAUAUCCCAGCAUCUCCUGGCAUGACACAGCAUUUCCCAUCUCCCAGCAUUUGCUGGCAUAUCCCAGCAUCUUGGCACAUCCCAGCAUCCUGGCACAUCCCAGUAUCUCCUGACAUCUUCCAGCAUCUCCUGGCAAAUCACAGCAUCUUCUGGCAUAA